rnacentral:rRNA from 1 species
GACGAACGCUGGCGGCGUGCUUAACACAUGCAAGUCGAACGAUGAAGCCGGAGCUUGCUCUGGUGAAUUAGUGGCGAACGGGUGAGUAACACGUGAGUAACCUGCCCUUGACUCUGGGAUAACUGCUAGAAAUGGUAGCUAAUACUGGAUACGACCCUCGGCGGCAUCGCCAGGGGGUGGAAAGAAUUUCGGUCAAGGAUGGACUCGCGGCCUAUCAGCUAGUUGGUGAGGUAACGGCUCACCAAGGCGACGACGGGUAGCCGGCCUGAGAGGGUGACCGGCCACACUGGGACUGAGACACGGCCCAGACUCCUACGGGAGGCAGCAGUGGGGAAUAUUGCACAAUGGGCGCAAGCCUGAUGCAGCAACGUCGCGUGAGGGAUGACGGCCUUCGGGUUGUAAACCUCUUUUAGUAGGGAAGAAGCGAAAGUGACGGUACCUGCAGAAAAAGCACCGGCUAACUUCGUGCCAGCCGCCGCGGUAA